AUACGGAGGGUGCAAGCGUUAUUCGGAAUCACUGGGCGUAAAGGACGCGUAGGCGGGUUGGCAAGUCAGAUGUGAAAUCCUACAGCUUAACUGUAGAACUGCAUUUGAAACUGCUAACCUAGAGUAUGGGAGGGGGAGAUGGAAUUAGUGGUGUAGGGGUAAAAUCCGUAGAUAUCAAUAAGAAUACCGAAAGCGAAGGCGAUCUCCUGGAACAUAACUGACGCUAAGGCGUGAAAGCGUGGGGAGCAAACAGGAUUAGAAACCCUAGUAGUCC
rnacentral:rRNA from 1 species